rnacentral:SRP_RNA from 1 species
UUGGAAAGGGACACGGAGCAGGGGAUCCAUCGAACGUUGGUGUCGACCCUGAGGGAGCUCCAUUGGAAGGCCAAGGACUUGGAUGGAAGAAUAGGUUUGGAACAGGCAAGGGUGGAGAC